UACGGAGGGUGCAAGCGUUGCUCGGAACUAUUGGGCGUAAAGGGUAGGUAGGUGGUCUCGUUUGUCUGGGGUGAAAGCCCUGAGCUUAACUCAGGAAGUGCCUCAGAAACGGCGAGACUGGAGUCCUGGAGAGGGUCGCGGAAUUCCCGGUGUAGCGGUGAAAUGCGUAGAGAUCGGGAGGAAUACCAGAGGCGAAGGCGGCGGCCUGGACAGGAACUGACACUCAACUACGAAAGCGUGGGUAGCAAACAGG
rnacentral:misc_RNA from 1 species